rnacentral:rRNA from 1 species
CCUGGCGGCGGGCUUACACAUGCAAGUCGAAGGAGAAGGAAGGAGCUUGCUCUUUCUGGAGACUGGCGCACGGGUGAGUAACGCGUAGACAACCUGCCUAUAGCUGGGGGAUAACAUCUCGAAAGAGGUGCUAAUACCGCAUAAUGCAGCGGGGCCGCAUGGUCACAGUUGUUAAAGCCUUCGGGCGGCUAUAGAUGGGUCUGCGUGCCAUUAGUUAGUUGGUAGGGUAACGGCCUACCAAGGCGAUGAUGGCUAGGGGGUCUGAGAGGAUGAUCCCCCACACUGGGACUGAGACACGGCCCAGACUCCUACGGGAGGCAGCAGUGAGGAAUCUUGCGCAAUGGAGGAAACUCUGACGCAGCCACGCCGCGUGCCGGAAGAAGGCCCUAUGGGUUGUAAACGGCUUUUAAUUGGGAAGAAGGAUAGGGUUUUGAUCUUAUUUGACGGUACCGAUUGAAUAAGCACCGGCUAACUCCGUGCCAGCAGCCGCGGUAAUACGGAGGGUGCAAGCGUUGUCCGGAAUCAUUGGGUGUAAAGGGUGCGUAGGCUGGCUCUUAAGUCUGAGGUGAAAUCUUGCCGCUUAACGGUAAAAUGGCCUUGGAUACUGGGAGUCUUGAAUCUGACAGAGGUCGGUGGAAUUCGUAGUGUAGCGGUGAAAUGCAUAGAUAUUACGAAGAACACCAGUGGCGAAGGCGGCCGGCUGGGUCAGUAUUGACGCUGAGGCACGAGAGCGUGGGGAGCGAACAGGAUUAGAUACCCUGGUAGUCCACGCUGUAAACGAUGUAUGCUAGUUGUUGGGGC